rnacentral:ncRNA from 1 species
UGAACAACGCAGACAAAGGGUAAGUAGACAAUCGAACAUGGACUUCAGAGAGCCGGUGGCUGCUGCGAACCGGUGUCCAGCGCUUGAUCGAAUGGCCUUUAGAGUUGCUCUUCCGAACCAUCUUAGCUGAUGUUGUAGGGAAAGCCGGGUUUCCCGCCGUUAUCAAGGGACCUGUAUCGAGAUUGUCUCAGACCUUCUCCGUACCGGUAAGAGAAGAUCGUAAUACUAACGAAACCUGGUUGCGCGAUCAUUUAAGGUGGUACCACGACAACUUCGUCCUUAUU